GAAGCGGCAACAGCUCAAAUUUGAAAUCUGGCGCAAGCCCGAGUUGUAAUUUGUAGAGGAUGCUUCAGGGCAGCGGCCGGUCUAAGUUCCUUGGAACAGGACGUCAUAGAGGGUGAGAAUCCCGUAUGCGACCGGUUGGCACCCGUCACGUAGCUCCUUCGACGAGUCGAGUUGUUUGGGAAUGCAGCUCUAAAUGGGAGGUAAAUUUCUUCUAAAGCUAAAUACCGGCCAGAGACCGAUAGCGCACAAGUAGAGUGAUCGAAAGAUGAAAAGCACUUUGGAAAGAGAGUUAAAAAGCACGUGAAAUUGUUGAAAGGGAAGCGCAUGCAACCAGACUUGUCGGCGGUGUUCCGCCGGUCUUUUGACCGGUUCACUCGCCGCCGGCAGGCCAGCAUCAUCUGGGCGCGCCGGACAAAGGCGCGGGGAAUGUAGCUCCUCGGAGUGUUAUAGCCCCGCGCACAAUACGGCGCCGCCCGGGUGAGGUCCGCGCUUCGGCUAGGAUGCUGGCGUAAUGGUUGUCUGCGGCCCGUCUUGAAACACGGACCAAGGAGUCUAACAUCUAUGCGAGUGUUCGGGUGUCAAACCCCUACGCGGAAUGAAAGUGAACGGAGGUGGGAAGCGCAAGCUGCACCAUCGACCGAUCCUGAUGUCUUCGGAUGGAUUUGAGUAAGAGCAUAGCUGUUGGGACCCGAAAGAUGGUGAACUAUGCCUGAAUAGGGUGAAGCCAGAGGAAACUCUGGUGGA
rnacentral:rRNA from 1 species